rnacentral:ncRNA from 1 species
UGGGACGUCGACCGGGUCGUGUAAGCAGUCGAGUAGCCUUGUUGUUACGAGCUGCUGAGCGUCAGCCCGCGUCGGCAGAUUUGU